rnacentral:rRNA from 1 species
UACGAAGGGGGGCUAGCGUUGCUCGGAAUCACUGGGCGUAAAGGGUGCGUAGGCGGGUCUUUAAGUCAGGGGUGAAAUCCUGGAGCUCAACUCCAGAACUGCCUUUGAUACUGGAAGUCUUGAGUUCGAGAGAGGUGAGUGGAACUGCGAGUGUAGAGGUGAAAUUCGUAGAUAUUCGCAAGAACACCAGUGGCGAAGGCGGCUCACCUGGCUCGAUACUGACGCUGAGGUGCGAAAGCGUGGGGAUCAAACAGG